rnacentral:siRNA from 1 species
UUGGAGUGCAUACAUGUCCUAC